AACCUGGUUGAUCCUGCCAGUAGUCAUAUGCUUGUCUCAAAGAUUAAGCCAUGCAUGUGUAAGCACACACUGUUUUAAAAGUGAAGCCGCGAAUGGCUCAUUACAACAGCCACAGUUUAUUAGAACUUACAAUCAUGGAUAACUGUGGUAAUUCUAGAGCUAAUACACGCACAAAAACUUCAACUGAAUUGGUUGAAGUGCUUUUAUUAGAACAAAAACCGAACGGCGUUUGACGAAUGUUGAACGUCGAAACUGUUUGGUGAAUCUGAAUAACUAUUUCUGAUCGCAUGGUCUAGCACCGGCGACAUCACUUUCAAGUGUCUGCCUUAUCAACCUUCGAUGGUAGUCUAUGCGACUACCAUGGUGAUAACGGGUAACGGAGAAUCAGGGUUCGACUCCGGAGAGGGAGCCUGAGAAACGGCUACCACAUCCAAGGAAGGCAGCAGGCGCGCAAAUUACCCACUCCCAGCUUGGGGAGGUAGUGACGAAAAAUAACGAGACGAUUCUCGUUUGAGAAACGUUAUCGAAAUGAGUACGCUUUACACACGCUAACGAGUAGCAAUUGGAGGGCAAGUCUGGUGCCAGCAGCCGCGGUAAUUCCAGCUCCAAUAGCGUAUAUUAAAGUUGCUGCGGUUAAAACGCUCGUAGUUGAAUUGUGGUCUUAGACAACAGUCCCCCUACAAAGGUGUGGCACGGUUGCUCGAGAUCUUCAUUCGUGGUUGCUGUUGUUGCUCUUCAUUGAGUGUCAAUGGUGCCUCGAGAUUUUACUUUGAAAAAAUUAGAGUGCUCAAAGCAGGUUGUGAUGCCUGAAUAAUGGUGCAUGGAAUAAUAGAAUACGAUCUCGGUUCUAUUUUGUUGGUUUUCGAACCGGAGAUAAUGAUUGAAAGGAACAGACGGGGGCAUUCGUAUUGCUGCGUUAGAGGUGAAAUUCUUGGAUCGCAGCAAGAUGAACAAUUGCGAAAGCAUUUGCCAAGAAUGUUUUCAUUAAUCAAGAACGAAAGUUAGAGGUUCGAAGGCGAUCAGAUACCGCCCUAGUUCUAACGGUAAACUAUGCCAACCAGCGAUUCGCCGAAGUUCAUUUAAGACUCGGCGAGCAGCUUCCGGGAAACCAAAGUGUUUCGGUUCCGGGGGAAGUAUGGUUGCAAAGCUGAAACUUAAAGGAAUUGACGGAAGGGCACCACCAGGAGUGGAGCCUGCGGCUUAAUUUGACUCAACACGGGAAAACUCACCCGGCCCGGACACUGGAAGGAUUGACAGAUUGACAGCUCUUUCUUGAUUCAGUGGGUAGUGGUGCAUGGCCGUUCUUAGUUGGUGGAGCGAUUUGUCUGGUUAAUUCCGAUAACGAACGAGACUCUACCCUAUUAAAUAGUGACAGUAUUGUAUUUUUUGUGCUGAUCACUUCUUAGAGGGACUGGCAAAUUGAAAGCUGCACGAAAAAGAGCAAUAACAGGUCUGUGAUGCCCUUCGAUGUCCGGGGCUGCACGCGCGCUACAAUGAAAGCGUCAACGUGAGUUACGUCCUUACCUGAAAAGGUUUGGCAAUCGAAUGAAACGUUUUCUUGAAUGGAAUAGGGAAUUGCAAUUGUUUCCCUUGAACGAGGAAUUCCCAGUAAGCGUGAGUCAUUAGCUCGCGUUGAUUACGUCCCUGCCCUUUGUACACACCGCCCGUCGCUACUACCGAUUGGAUGAUUUAGUGAGGUGUUUUGACUGGCGCCAGUAGUCGGAUAUGUAUUCGGCUUCGCGCCGGGAAAUUUCCCAAACCAAAUCAUCUAGAGGAAGUAAAAGUCGUAACAAGGUUUCCGUAGGUGAACCUGCGGAAGGAUCAUUA
rnacentral:rRNA from 1 species